AUAGUACUCCCUCCGUUUUAAAUUACUCGUCGUAGAAAUGGAUGUAUCUGGAACUAAAAUACAUUAAGAUACAUCCAUUUCUGCGAUAAGUAAUUCGAAACGGAGGGAGUACUAG
rfam:Triticum aestivum genome assembly, contig: Triticum_aestivum_CS42_TGACv1_scaffold_093541_2AL